GGCUGAUUAGCUCAGUCUGUUAGAGCAUGGUGCUGAUAACGCCAAGGUCGUGGGUUCGAUCCCCGUUCGGUCC
rfam:Apaloderma vittatum contig41197, whole genome shotgun sequence.